rnacentral:rRNA from 1 species
CUAGUUGGUGUGGUUAUGGCUUAGUAGGGGGACGAUCAGUAGCUGGUCUGAGAGGGUGACCGGCCACACUGGGACUGAGACACGGCCCAGACUCCUACGGGAGGCAGCAGUAGGGAAUUUUCGGCAAUGGGCGCAAGCCUGACCGAGCAACGCCGCGUGAGUGAAGAAGGCCUUCGGGUUGUAAAGCUCUGUUGUAAGGGAAGAAUGGCCAAGAGAGGGAAUGCUCUUGGAGUGACGGUACCUUACCAGAAAGCCACGGCUAACUACGUGCCAGCAGCCGCGGUAAUACGUAGGUGGCAAGCGUUAUCCGGAAUUAUUGGGCGUAAAGGGAGCGUAGGCGGCUUGAUAAGUCUGAGGUGAAAGUUCGGGGCUCAACUCCGGAUUGCCUUAGAAACUGUCAGGCUAGAGUGCAGGAGAGGGCAAUGGAAUUCCAUGUGUAGCGGUAAAAUGCGUAGAUAUAUGGAGGAACACCAGUGGCGAAGGCGGUUGCCUGGCCUGUAACUGACGCUGAGGCUCGAAAGCGUGGGGAGCAAAUAGGAUUAGAUACCCUAGUAGUCCACGCUGUAAACGAUGAUUACUAAGUGUUGGAGCAAUUCAGUGCUGCAGUUAACGCAAUAAGUAAUCCGCCUGGGGAGUAUGCACGCAAGUGUGAAACUCAAAGGAAUUGACGGGACCCCGCACAAGCGGUGGAUUAUGUUGUUUAAUUCGACGCAACGCGAAGAACCUUACCAGGCCUUGACAUACUCGGCAAAGCUCUAGAGAUAGAGUGGAGGUUAUCCGGGAUACAGGUGGUGCAUGGUUGUCGUCAGCUCGUGUCGUGAGAUGUUGGGUUAAGUCCCGCAACGAGCGCAACCCUUGUCUUUAGUUGCCAGCACGUAAUGGUGGGAACUCUAGCGAGACUGCCGGUGACAAACCGGAGGAAGGUGGGGAUGACGUCAAAUCAUCAUGCCCCUUAUGUUCUGGGCUACACACGUGCUACAAUGGCCGGUACAGACGGAAGCGAAGCCGCGAGGUGAAGCAAAUCCGAGAAAGCCGGUCUCAGUUCGGAUUGCAGGCUGCAACUCGCCUGCAUGAAGUCGGAAUCGCUAGUA